rnacentral:rRNA from 1 species
CUAUGGUUUAUUGGAUCGUACCCGUUAAAUGGAUAACUGUAAUAACUCUAGAGCUAAUACAUGCCUCGAAGCCCUGACCUGUGCAAAACACAGGGAUGGGUGCACUUAUUAGAUCAGAAACCAACCGAGUCAGGGUUGCCUGAAUUGGUGCCUCUGGCUUGUUGUCGUUCUGGUGACUCUGGAUAAUUGUUACAGAUCGCAGUCGGCCUUGCGUCGGCGACGGGUCCUUCAAAUGUCUGCCCUAUCAACUUUCGAUGGUAGGUGAUCUGCCUACCAUGGUGAUAACGGGUAACGGGGAAUCAGGGUUCGAUUCCGGAGAGGGAGCCUGAGAAACGGCUACCACUUCCAAGGGAGGCAGCAGGCGCGCAAAUUACCCACUCCCGGUACGGGGAGGUGGUGACGAAAAAUACCGAUGCGGGACUCUUCAAGAGGCUCCGUAAUCGGAAUGAGUGAACUCUAAAUCCUUUCACGAGGAUCAAUUGGAGGGCAAGUCUGGUGCCAGCAGCCGCGGUAACUCCAGCUCCAAUAGCGUAUAUUAAAGUUGCUGCAGUUAAAAAGCUCGUAGUUGGAUCUCGGUAUCACUGUUGCCUGCCAUUGCUUGGCCAGUUGAGUGUCAGUCUUAGCAGCUGAAUGUUGUGUGGUCGUGAUGCUCGACUGUGUUCAAGUUGGUGCGGUAGCGGUGCCACCUUUUAGCCAUGUCUGUGGUGAAAUACCCACAGGUGUAGACGAGUGUCAGGCGGUGCUCUGCAGCUGUAGGGUCCGUCGGCUCGCCUGCAUGCCUUUGGAUGCCCUUCAUAAGGUGUCUGUGGGCGGAUGGCACGUUUACUUUGAACAAAUUUGAGUGCUCAAACCAGGCCGCUGUAGCCUGAAAAGUUUUGCAUGGAAUAAUGGAAUAGGACUUCGGUUCUAUUUUGUUGGUUUUCGGAUCCGAAGUAAUGAUCAAAAGAGACAGGCGGGGACGUUUGUAUGGUUGCGCUAGAGGUGAAAUUCAUGGACCGUAACCAGACAGACUAAAGCGAAAGCAUUCGUCAAGCAUGUUUUCAUUGACCAUGAGCGAAAGUCAGAGGCUCGAAGACGAUCAGAUACCGUCCUAGUUCUGACCAUAAACGAUGCCAACUGACGAUCCGUGAUGGUAGCUCUCUAACCGUCCUCACGGGCAGCCCCCGGGAAACCUUUAAGUCUAUGGGUUCCGGGGGAAGUAUGGUUGCAAAGCUGAAACUUAAAGGAAUUGACGGAAGGGCACCACCAGGAGUGGAGCCUGCGGCUUAAUUUGACUCAACACGGGAAAACUCACCCGGGCCGGACACUGUGAGGAUUGACAGAUUGAAAGCUCUUUCUUGAUUUGGUGGUUGGUGGUGCAUGGCCGUUCUUAGUUGGUGGAGCGAUUUGUCUGGUUAAUUCCGAUAACGAACGAGACUCUAGCCUGCUAAUUAGUGCGCCUGUCCUCUGUUCCUGUGUUGGCAGCUCUCAGCGCUACUGCCUUCCAAUACGAGGCUGCUAGUAACGUUGUUUGGGGCCGGUUAGUUGCCAUUUGGAGCGACAUGUUUGUUGGCGAAAGUAAUUGUCGAUGAUGGUCGUUUCUGUGGUUGGCUUUCUGGUCUUGGCAUACGUAUACGGUAGUUGAGUUUAGGCGGUGGAGUCGGGUUUUGCUUCCGGGUACGGCGCACGUGUCUACUUCUUAGAGGGACAAGCAUAUACAAAUGCACGAGAUUGAGCAAUAACAGGUCUGUGAUGCCCUUAGAUGUCCGGGGCCGCACGCGCGCUACAAUGACGGUGCCAACGAGUCUGACCUCCUGGCCCGAAAGGGUUGGGCAAACUGGUCAAUCACCGUCAUGUCAGGAUCGGGGGCUUGGAAUUAUUCCCCGUGAACCAGGAAUUCCUAGUAAGUGCAAGUCAUAAGCUUGCGCUGAUUACGUCCCUGCCCUUUGUACACACCGCCCGUCGCUACUACCGAUUGAAUGGUUUAGUA